GAAUUUGGGUUCAACCACGAAUUGGACCGAGUACAAGUCAUCCAAAUUGCCUUGGACAAAAAAUUGGCUAACAUGAGUUAAAUAGGUCUAUUUGGUUCAUACCCAAUUAUGACCCAUCUAAAUUCGGACCGACCCACCCAUUUGCCA